AUGAUCCUGCCUGGUGGUAGGUGCAGGCUUCAAACUUGUAGGGGCCUAGCGGCACAGUCGUUCAAUUCGACCUUGC
rnacentral:tRNA from 1 species